UCGGGAAUUUUGGGCAAUGGGGGAAACCCUGACCCAGCAACGCCGCGUGAAGGAUGAAGUAUUUCGGUAUGUAAACUUCGAAAGAAUAGGAAGAAUAAAUGACGGUACUAUUUAUAAGGUCCGGCUAACUACGUGCCAGCAGCCGCGGUAAUACGUAGGGACCAAGCGUUGUUCGGAUUUACUGGGCGUAAAGGGCGCGUAGGCGGCGUGACAAGUCACUUGUGAAAUCUCCGGGCUUAACUCGGAACUGCCAAGUGAUACUGUCGUGCUAGAGUGCAGAAGGGGCAAUCGGAAUUCUUGGUGUAGCGGUGAAAUGCGUAGAUAUCAAGAGGAACACCUGAGGUGAAGACGGGUUGCUGGGCUGACACUGACGCUGAGGCGCGAAAGCUAGGGGAGCAAACGGGAUUAGAUACCCAAGUAGUCCCUGAGCGGGCUGGCAAGGCGCAU
rnacentral:rRNA from 1 species